AAACAAAAAAACAAUUGUAGUUCAUAGUUCAAAGUGGGAGGACCGCGGCGCCGAGAAGGCUCGGAUCGUAGGUAUUCUGUAAACAACGUCGCAAUUUUUGUGUAAAUAAAAGAAAGAAGAACGCACAAGACAUUUUUAAAUCUUACUGAUAGCAAGUAGCUUGUAUUUAUACUGGAUAUGGGAGACUAGUUUGGAUUCAAGAUGGAGGACUUGUUAGAACUUCCAGCUGUGUUGACAGUAGCAACACUGGUGGUGUUGAUUAUUGUGUUGUUUGGUUGUGGACGGUGUUUCAGAUUUUUGUUUCCGAAACCAGAUGAACUAGGCAUAGUCCAUCAAGACGAGUCUGGAAUUGAAAAUAAUGACAACUUUGGAGAUUUCAGACCGCCAUCUCAAAAUACACCAUACAACGAUCCGGUAGAUGUUGAGCCCUUGCCGGAUGCUAGUCAUCUACGUUUAGGUCAGCAUGUCUCCAGCUUGUCACCGGCCCAGAGCGGUCCUUCUUUAGCGCAGGAAAAUAUUAAGUUCCUGAAUGACCCCUCAAUGCAGUUCCCACGUACACAGCUUAGUUAUGUUGAUGAGCUGGGAAAUGGCUGGUUUGGAAAGGUUUUGCAAGGUGAAGCGAGAAAAAUACAAGUUGGAAUCAAGAAAACCAAAGUAGUUGUGAAAGAACUCAAAGAUACAGCCACAAGGGAGGAACAGAUAAGGUUCCUCCGAGAAGUCCAGUCGCAUAGAGAAUUGCGCCACCCUAAUAUGCUGAGUUUGCUUGGACAGUGCAUUGAUAGCAUUCCGUUUCUACUAAUCAUGGAGCAUGCACCGUUAGGUGAUCUCAAGAGUUAUUUGAUGAAACACAGGGAAGAAAUGCAGUCGAUGGCCCUCAGAGAUGUUCAAUUGAAGUUGGCUUGUGACUUGGCUAGUGGCCUAACAUUACUGCAUCAAGCUGGAUUUGUGCACAUGGAUUUUGCUGCAAGAAACUGCCUUCUGGCCAGUGUAGAUUCACUUAAAAUUGGAGAUUAUGGGCUAUCACAAGAAAAGUAUAAAGGAGAUUACUACCGUUUACCAUCAACCAACCAGAUAGUACCAAUUCGUUGGCUACCUCCAGAUGGCUUUGAGGUGAAUGGUCCUAUAGUGAAACCUAAAGCUAUUACCAAAGAAAGCAAUGUAUGGUCAUUUGGUGUUGUGCUUUGGGAACUGUCAACAGGAGCGCUUCUGCCAUACAGCAAUUGCAACGAUGAAGAAGUUGUCAGAGAUGUCAUUAUCCAACAACAUACAAAAAUAGAACCACCACAACUACAAGUGAAGUACAUUGGAAGAUGGUGGGAGAUUAUGCAACUUUGUUGGCAGUCUCAUGAAAAGUCUCCCACAAUGCAACAUAUUUUGGAGCUGUUGACUCACCUGAAGUCACAUAAGGACAAAAGUGAUCGUGAAGAGUUUCAAGAGAAGUGGGACUCCCUGAAGAGCUCGGAUUCAGCUGCUUUAAAUGGAUCAGUACUUGCCACUCAUCCUGCAUCUUCAGGACACUCUCAAGACUCCAGUUUAGGGCAACUUCUGCAAACUUCUGAAGGGGUGACAUUAACAUCUGCCAGUGCCACUACCUCAGAUACAGAUGUUGUAGGGAUUAUGAUGCAUCCUGCUCUUACAAAUCCUUUGACAUCAUCCAUAGUCACUGUUGAACAUCAUGCUCCUUUGAUGUCUCCAGGUGUGCAGGCAGCAGUUUCUACUGCCAGUGACUCAUCUUCUACCUUUACUGCCGAGAAUACAACGUUGAUUGAUGUCAAUACUUCAAAUGAACAGAUCCUUCAAACACCAGAAAGCAAUGAUCUUUUAAAUUCUUAUUCUAAUGAUAUUCAAGUAUCAGCAGAUCUGUUGAAGACUCCUCCUAACACCCCAAUUGAAGAAGGUUUCCUUAGUAGGGCAUCAGACUCUGAAAAUCUGCAGAGCAGUGCAGCUGCUCAAAUUUUGAGUGAGGGCUUAGAGACUCUAGAUGCUAGAGCAGGUCAUGUAGGACUUCCACAAUCACCUGAACACAUUGAUUCUCUGGCAACUAUUCAACAGCUUAAUAAUGUAAUGGCAACCAAUUUUACUUCUUUAAGCCCUAUGGUGACAACGGUUAAUGGUGCAACCUCACCAGCUGGUGUAAGUUCACCGGCUGGUGCUGGUGAUGUCAAAGUUCUAGAAAUUAACAUUGGUGAUGAUGGCAGGUUAAUAAAUGGUACUGAAGGCAAACCAGUGAAAGAAGGGGAAGAAAAUGGAAAACUGCUGCAAGAUGAUGCGUCAGAAGUGUUCUUGCAUGAUGGCCGCCCAAGAAAAAGUUCUUUACGAUAUUCAUCCAAUAAGGAUUAUCGUUUAGUUUACCUUGAUGAAUCUUUUGAUACUGAGACUACAAAACUAUUGAAAAAGUAGUAUUCUGUAAUAUAAAAUUGUAUUGAUAUAAUAAGUUGUAUAAUUUGAAUAUAUAACCAAUUGGUUUCGCAAUAAUAUAAUACCUAAUCUCAUUAUCAUAUUGGACAUUCAAUUUUUUUUUAGCAUGUAGUGUAUUAUUAAUCAAAUAAUCCCAGUACUUUAUAUCAAUAAUAAUUGAUGAUGAUAAUAAUAUUUAGAAUAAUUUCCAAGUGCCUUGCACAUAAUGCACAGCAUGGGGAUUAACCUCUGACCUCAAGAUUGAAAGGCAGAAACGCAACCGCUAUGCCAAACUGCUCUUUUCAAUCUCAGAGGAAUGUGCUUAGGCCUAGUCCUGCAUGAGUACUCAUCAUUGAAUGAUUUCAUGAUCAUGGAAUCCCUUCUUCCAAGAAUUCGCUUCCCCUUGGCUCCUCUCACUCCUUGGGAUUCUUGAUUAAACCCAAAUAUAUAUUACUGUAAUACAGCAACUAAAACAUUGUUGUAGAUGGUACUGUAGGUUGGAUUGAGAUUGAGUGAAUGGUUUCAGUGAAUGGGGUCAGUAGUUCCCCUGUCUAACAAGCAUGGACCCCAAUCAACGAAUAUCACUUUCAAACUAAAAUAUUACUUUGCUGAUGCAACAAAAAUUAUAGCGAUUGAUUGACCAAUUGCCUAAUAUUGUGGUCUAAAGCCACAGUUUUUAUUCUUUUUAAAAGUUUUUAUUUUCCUUUAAUAAGAAUCUUCUUUAAAAUCAUAAACAUUACUGUUGGUGUUUUUGUCUGCAUGAUAAUUGAUAAUAAUGAUGGUGGUGGUAUUAAAGUGAUUUCUUAACCUUCAGUAUAUGGCCUGAGUUGUGCCAUACUAAACUAGCAUCUCUGCAGUUAAACCUUUUUCAUCAUAGAACAAGUAGUUAUCUAUGAUCAGUACUUUCUUGAGCAUUGGAAGCAUAAUUAACUUUAUAGCAUGAUGGGUGAACUUAAUGGUGGUGGUACUAUGUGAUAAAUUAUGAUUGAUUUUAUUUGAUAUAAUUUUUAGACGUGAUCAAGAGUUGCCAGUAGCAACAUAUCGUUUCUUCUUCCGUUAAUGUACAAACUACUGUAUCAACUAUGGAUGCAUAAUUCAAGCUAACUGUUAUAGGUUACCUUGUCGCUCAACUGCGGAUAACAUUUAUUAUAAUCAAGCUAAAUGCUUUCUCUGUUAUAGGUGAAUUCGUCACUCAAAAUGUACAGUAUUUGCUAGUAUACUAGCAUCCAUGUUUGCUUAAUGUUGAUGUGUUAUAUUUUGGCUGUACUGUAUGGUUUCAAAUGAUGUUCUUUGGCAGCUUGGUGGUCUUAAGCCAUGUCUUUUGGCAACUGGGUAGUAGUAAGCCAUGCUCUUUUGGCAACUGGGUGGUCGUAAGCCAUGCUGUUAAUAGUUUGCUUCAGGACUGUUGUCGGCUUUGGCAUGCUAUGAUCAUUGGCACCAGGAAUGCUGCUGGCUUUUGCAACUCUGUGGCCUUAAGUAACGCUCUGGUCUCUAGUUUUGUAACAAUUGUAUUAUUUUUGGAAUCUAAAGUGUGUUUAAAAUCAAAUAUAUCCGAACCAAAGCAUGUUGCAGGCUUUCUUUUUUCAAAAAAUUCAUUUUAUUUUCUAAACAUAGGCCUCCUACAGUAUAUGUGAUUUAUUUUAUUUAUUUAUUUUAUUCAUUUGGCAUGAUGGCUCAGGAGUCACAAAAGCGGAAAUCCACGGUCGCCUGAAAGACGUGCGGCUCCCAAGAUAGAUUGCUAUAUGGCUGGCCAACUGGUGUUUGUGUCAUGUCACGUAUACCUCCCAAAUCAAACAAUAUAUAUGUCUUUCAGUUACCAACUGCUUUUACCACUUAUGCCUAUUGCUUCCAGAAACAAAAAUACCACAAUAUGGCAUAACGUUACCCAUAAAAACAAUGUUUGCCAAUUACUUUUUAGUAAAAAGAACAGAAUUCUGGUUUUUGGGCCUACAAGACAUUAAUUAUUUAAUCUUGAUUGAUGUUAAUUAACAAUAUUUGUAAUAGUAUAGGUGCAUGAUAAUUGUAUAAUAUAGUAUUGCUAGUCACUGAUUACCAACUCAAGGAAUGGUUAAAUAAAAUAAUAUUAUUAAUAAUAAUAAUAAUAAUAAUAAUAAUAAGAAUAAUAGUGUCGGAUGAAUUAUAAAUAUUUAUAUAAUUUUUAUUUUAUUUGAGUACCGGUACAUGACAUGGCAGUAGAGUUAGACAGCUAACAUCUGUGUAGUUAAAUCGAACCCAUGAUAUAAUAUUUUAAUUUGUUAUUUACUAUAAUUUAAUACAAUAAUCCACUAUUAAAACUAACAUAUUGCUUGAUUGUGCAUGAUAAUAUAUGUACUGUAACACAUGUAUAUAGCAUCAUGCUAGGAACCUGACACACACCUGCAUCACGCUUGCAGCUACCCCUGGACACAGACUCUUGAAUACCGCAGCCAUGUCUCAUUGGCUCUGACCAAUUGCUUAGCGUUAACCAAUAGAUGUGCCUCCAGACCUUAUAUGAAGCUACAGUAUUGUUCUUGUGUUCUGGAUAAUAUCUAAUAUGUUGGACCACCUGCAUGCAGAAUUUGAACACAUGUGAGCACCUGCAUUUUGGACACAGGCUUCAGGACAAAGAAACAUGGGCAUUCAUUGGACAAUUUUUUCUUAAUUAACUGACAACCAGCAUUUAGUUACAUGUGUAUAGCCACCUAUGGCAGUGUGCCCUGAAUAUCUGCAGUGAUUUCUGAACACAGAGUCUAUGAACCAUUCUGUAGUCAUGUGUGCUGUAUGCAAAUUAUUUUAUUAGGUAUGAUCACUGCUAUUAUGAGAAGGUCUAUAUCACCUGUUAUAAAUCAACCUAGAGUUUAAAAUUUGGACGACGAAUUUGGACACCUGCAUACACUUUGUAUUUUUUGCAGUGUACACAUCUUUGUAGGUUUUUUAAAAAAGGACACUUUUGUAAAUGCUUGCAUUUCCUGAGCAUUUCCAGUUAUGAAAUUUGCUUGACGGAGAUUCAGCUAAUAAACAUUUAAGAUUUUGCAGUCUUUAUUGUAUUCCUUCCCCACCCACCUUUUCUUCUGGGAAUGCAAUGCAUUUGACAUUUAAAAGGAUUUUUAAUUACAGACAAUAGAAGAUGGUACUACCAAGUCAGUGAAAUUUGAAGAUGACCCUUCACUGACUUCUGUCUACAACUAUCCAACGGAACCUACCUCACCAAUCAACUCCUCUUUCACUGAUGAAUUUUCCAUUGCUGUUGCUUC
rnacentral:misc_RNA from 1 species